ACAACCCUAAACCUAAUUAGUUUCGUCUUCCUUACACAGCCGCCUCGAUGCAUCCUUAUGGCAUGACUCCGGCACCAAGUCCUUGGCCCUAUACACGACGCCACCACCACCUGAUCCUUGUCCAUUACCGUCAUCAUCAACCUCCCCUACACAUUAGCCCUAAAAUCUUCCAUCUCGAAUCUUGUCUUCGGCCUUAGUAUCUGCCAACCAGCAGCAACUGAAAUUACACCACCAGCCGUCGGGCAGCAACCACCGACUACUUUUUCCGCAACACUACUGAUGACACAGGCCACAAUCGGCAAUGGUCUAACCAUCUCCGACAAGUAUCCCCAAAGCAGCAUCUAGAGUAAAAGUGUUGAUGGUGGAAACAAAUACAAGCUGAAUCUUGAUACAACGUUCACGAAAAGAAACAAAGAGAAGGAAUGGUGAUUUAAGGGGGGGGGGGGGGAGGAGAGACUUGUAAUGGUUGUGAAAGUGGCUUUAUUUUAUUUAUGCCUGUUAAGAUAAAGUUUGAUUGGUUGAAUUUUGCUCACGCGGAUCAGUAACUUAAUGAAUGGUUUUGAUUGUAUUAAGAUAAAAUCAAGGGUCAAGAUGUCAUCUUCAUAUGAGAGUCAAUGUGAUUUUAAGAGAUUGAAUUUGACUGGUUGCUUUUGUUUCA